rnacentral:rRNA from 1 species
GAUGAACGCUGGCGGCGUGCCUAAUACAUGCAAGUCGAGCGAAUGGAUUAAGAGCUUGCUCUUAUGAAGUUAGCGGCGGACGGGUGAGUAACACGUGGGUAACCUGCCCAUAAGACUGGGAUAACUCCGGGAAACCGGGACUAAUACCGGAUAACAUUUUGAACCGCAUGGUUCGAAAUUGAAAGGCGGCUUCGUCUGUCACUUAUGGAUGGACCCGCGUCGCAUUAGCUAGUUGGUGAGGUAACGGCUCACCAAGGCAACGAUGCGUAGCCGAGCUGAGAGGGUGAUCGGACACACUGGGACUGGAACACGGCCCAGACGCCUACGGGAGGCAGCAGUAGGGAAUCUUCCGCAAUGGACGAAAGUCUGACGGAGCAACGCCGCGUGAGUGAUGAAGGCUUUCGGGUCGUAAAACUCUGUUGUUAGGGAAGAACAAGUGCUAGUUGAAUAAGCGGGCACCUUGACGGUACCUAACCAGAAAGCCACGGCUAACUACGUGCCAGCCGCCGCCGUAA